AGAGUUUGAUCAUGGCUCAGGAUGAACGCUAGCGGCAGGCUUAAUACAUGCAAGUCGUGGGGCAGCGCAGUGUAGCAAUACAUGGGCGGCGACCGGCAAACGGGUGCGGAACACGUACGCAACCUUCCUUCAAGUGGGGAAUAGCCCGGGGAAACCCGGAUUAAUACCUCGUAACAUUAUGAGGCGGCAUCACCUUAUAAUUAUAGCUCCGGCGCUUGAAGAUGGGCGUGCGCCUGAUUAGGUAGUUGGCGGGGUAAUGGCCCACCAAGCCUACGAUCAGUAACUGGUGUGAGAGCACGACCAGUCACACGGGCACUGAGACACGGGCCCGACUCCUACGGGAGGCAGCAGUAAGGAAUAUUGGUCAAUGGACGCAAGUCUGAACCAGCCAUGCCGCGUGGAGGAUGAAGGUCCUCUGGAUUGUAAACUUCUUUUAUCUGGGAAGAAACCCACGAUUUCUAUUGUGGUUGACGGUACCAGACGAAUAAGCACCGGCUAACUCCGUGCCAGCAGCCGCGGUAAUACGGAGGGUGCAAGCGUUAUCCGGAUUCACUGGGUUUAAAGGGUGCGUAGGUGGAUCGGUAAGUCCGUGGUGAAAUCCCUGAGCUUAACUCAGGAACUGCCGUGGAUACUAUCGAUCUUGAAUGCCGUGGAGGUAAGCGGAAUAUGUCAUGUAGCGGUGAAAUGCUUAGAUAUGACAUAGAACACCAAUAGCGAAGGCAGCUUGCUACACGGUAAUUGACACUCAGGCACGAAAGCGUGGGGAGCAAACAGGAUUAGAUACCCUGGUAGUCCACGCCCUAAACGAUGAUUACUCGACAUACGCGAUACACUGUGUGUGUCUGAGCGAAAGCAUUAAGUAAUCCACCUGGGAAGUACGACCGCAAGGUUGAAACUCAAAGGAAUUGGCGGGGGUCCGCACAAGCGGUGGAGCAUGGUGGUUUAAUUCGAUGAU
rnacentral:rRNA from 1 species